rnacentral:ncRNA from 2 species
AAGAGGGAACCCGGUGUGAAUCCGGGACUGCCCCGCAGCGGUAAGUGGGAACGAACGCCGUCAACAGCACUGGACCAGGCAUCGGUCCGGGAAGCGACGGCCAGUAGGACGACCGGCCCGGCGCCGGAACCGCCCGCGAGUCCGAAGACCU